GUGGGGAAUUGUUCGCAAUGGGCGCAAGCCUGACGACGCAACGCCGCGUGGAGGAUGAAGGUCUUCGGAUUGUAAACUCCUGUUGCCCGGGACGAAAAGCUUCGACCUAACACGUCGAGGUCUGACGGUACCGGGUGAGGAAGCCCCGGCUAACUCUGUGCCAGCAGCCGCGGUAAUACAGAGGGGGCGAGCGUUGUUCGGAAUUACUGGGCGUAAAGGGCGCGUAGGCGGCCUGUUAAGUCGGACGUGAAAUCCCCGGGCUCAACCCGGGAACUGCGUCCGAUACUGGCAGGCUUGAAUCCGGGAGAGGGAUGUGGAAUUCCAGGUGUAGCGGUGAAAUGCGUAGAUAUCUGGAGGAACACCGGUGGCGAAGGCGGCAUCCUGGACCGGCAUUGACGCUGAGGCGCGAAAGCCAGGGGAGCAAACGGG
rnacentral:rRNA from 1 species